AAUAUUGCGCAAUGGUGGGAACUCGGUCGCAGCGACGCCGCCGGAGCGAUGAAGGUUGUCCGAUCGUAAAGCUCCUUCCCUGGGGAAGAAGGGAGCCGUAAUGCUUCUUGACGGUGCCCAUGGAGGAAGCCCCGUCUCACUACGCUCCAUCAGCCGCGGUAAUACGUAGGGGGCAAGUGUUGCUCGGAAUUAUUGGGCGGAAUGGGUGCGUAGGCAGCCCUUUAGGUCAGGUGUGAAAGCCCACGGCUUAACCGUGGGGCUGCAUUUGAAACUGGAGGGCUUGAGUGUCGGAGAGGGCAGUGGAAUUCCCAGUGUAGCGGUGGGAUGAGUAGAUAUUGGGAAGAACACCAGUGGCGAAGGCGGCUGCCUGAACGAAAACUGACGCUGAGGCACGAAAGCUAGGGGAGCAAACA
rnacentral:rRNA from 1 species